GACGAGGGAUCCUAGCGUUGUUCGGAAUCAUUGGGCGUAAAGCGGGUGCAGGUGGCUUAGUAAGUCAGGUGUGAAAUCCCAGGGCUUAACCCUGGAAGUGCAUUUGAAACUGCCAAGCUUGAGUGUGGGAGAGGUUACUAGAAUUCUUGGUGUAGUGGUGAAAUACGUAGAUAUCAAGAGGAAUACCGGCGGCGAAGGCGGGUAACUGGCCCAACACUGACACUCAGACCCGAAAGCGUGGGGAUCAAACAGG
rnacentral:rRNA from 1 species